rnacentral:rRNA from 1 species
CAAUAGCGUAUAUUUAAGUUGUUGCAGUUAAAAAGCUCGUAGUUGGAUUUCGGGUGGGACGCAGCGGUCUCGCAUUGCGUUUGUACUGCUGCAGCCCUCCUUCUUGCCGGGGGCGGCCUCUCGGACUUCACUGUCUGGGGGUCAGAAUCGGCGAUGUUACUUUGAGUAAAUUAGAGUGUUCAAAGCAAGCUUACGCUCUGAAUAUAAUAGCAUGGGAUAACACGACAGGACUCUGGCCUAUCGUGUUGGUCUAUAGGACCAGAGUAAAGAUUAAGAGGGACAGUCGGGGGCAUUCGUAUUCCGUUGUCAGAGGUGAAAUUCUUGGAUUUACGGAAGACGAACAUCUGCGAAAGCAUUUGCCAAGGAUGUUUUCAUUGA